rnacentral:rRNA from 1 species
AGAGUUUGAUCCUGGCUCAGAACGAACGCUGGCGGCAGGCCUAACACAUGCAAGUCGAGCGCUCUCUUCGGAGGGAGCGGCGGACGGGUGAGUAACGCGUGGGAACGUGCCCUUCUCUAUGGAAUAGCCACUGGAAACGGUGAGUAAUACCAUAUACGCCCUUCGGGGGAAAGAUUUAUCGGAGAAGGAUCGGCCCGCGUUAGAUUAGGUAGUUGGUGGGGUAAUGGCCUACCAAGCCUACGAUCUAUAGCUGGUUUUAGAGGAUGAUCAGCCACACUGGGACUGAGACACGGCCCAGACUCCUACGGGAGGCAGCAGUGGGGAAUCUUAGACAAUGGGCGCAAGCCUGAUCUAGCCAUGCCGCGUGAGUGAUGAAGGCCUUAGGGUCGUAAAGCUCUUUCGCCAGAGAUGAUAAUGACAGUAUCUGGUAAAGAAACCCCGGCUAACUCCGUGCCAGCAGCCGCGGUAAUACGGAGGGGGUUAGCGUUGUUCGGAAUUACUGGGCGUAAAGCGCACGUAGGCGGAUUAGAAAGUUAGGGGUGAAAUCCCGGGGCUCAACCUCGGAACUGCCUCUAAAACUCCUAGUCUAGAGUUCGAGAGAGGUGAGUGGAAUUCCAAGUGUAGAGGUGAAAUUCGUAGAUAUUUGGAGGAACACCAGUGGCGAAGGCGGCUCACUGGCUCGAUACUGACGCUGAGGUGCGAAAGUGUGGGGAGCAAACAGGAUUAGAUACCCUGGUAGUCCACACCGUAAACGAUGAAUGCCAGUCGUCGGGUAGUAUACUGCUCGGUGACACACCUAACGGAUUAAGCAUUCCGCCUGGGGAGUACGGUCGCAAGAUUAAAACUUAAAGGAAUUGACGG